GACACUAGGGGACACUGAGAGACAUGGGGGCACUGUGAGACAUGGGAACACUGAGACACUAGGGGACACUGAGACUAGGGGACUCUGGGAGACUAUGUCCCCAGUGUCUCAGUGUCCCCAUGUCUCAGUGUCCCCAUGUCUCAGUGUCCCCAAGUCUCU